rnacentral:rRNA from 1 species
CCUACGGGAGGCAGCAGUGGGGAAUAUUGCACAAUGGGGGAAACCCUGAUGCAGCAACGCCGCGUGAGUGAAGAAGUAUUUCGGUAUGUAAAGCUCUAUCAGCAGGGAAGAUAAUGACGGUACCUGACUAAGAAGCCCCGGCUAACUACGUGCCAGCAGCCGCGGUAAUACGUAGGGGGCAAGCGUUAUCCGGAUUUACUGGGUGUAAAGGGAGCGCAGGCGGCAGGGCAAGUCAGAUGUGAAAGCCCGGGGCUCAACCCCGGGACUGCAUUUGAAACUGUCCAGCUGGAGUACAGGAGAGGCAGGCGGAAUUCCUAGUGUAGCGGUGAAAUGCGUAGAUAUUAGGAGGAACACCAGUGGCGAAGGCGGCCUGCUGGACUGUAACUGACGCUGAGGCUCGAAAGCGUGGGGAGCAAACAGGAUUAGAUACCCUGGUAGUCC